GACGAACGCUGGCGGCGUGCUUAACACAUGCAAGUCGAACGAUGAAGCCUAGCUUGCUAGGUGGAUUAGUGGCGAACGGGUGAGUAAUACGUGAGUAACCUACCUUUAACUCUGGGAUAAGCCUGGGAAACUGGGUCUAAUACCGGAUACGACCAAUCUCCGCAUGGGGUGUUGGUGGAAAGCGGUAUGUAGUGGUUAUAGAUGGGCUCACGGCCUAUCAGCUUGUUGGUGAGGUAACGGCUCACCAAGGCGACGACGGGUAGCCGGCCUGAGAGGGUGACCGGCCACACUGGGACUGAGACACGGCCCAGACUCCUACGGGAGGCAGCAGUGGGGAAUAUUGCACAAUGGGCGCAAGCCUGAUGCAGCGACGCCGCGUGAGGGAUGACGGCCUUCGGGUUGUAAACCUCUGUUAGCAGGGAAGAAGAGAAAUUGACGGUACCUGCAGAGAAAGCGCCGGCUAACUACGUG
rnacentral:rRNA from 1 species